CACAAAGUUCGUCGAGAGAAGCUUUUGUGGAAAUAUGUUGAGUGCCCGCAACAACAAGGAGGCACGGAGUGCGGUUAUUUUGUGAUGCGGUACAUUUUUGACGUACUCGCUUCAUAUUUUGGUUCGUUGGAUAUGGACAAAGUUGCUCAAACCUUUACCAAAGAUCCUUAUACGGAGGAUCAAAUCAAUGAGGUGAAGAAUAAGUGGGCAAGAUACUUUGUUGAUGAGUGCAUUGCUUAGGUUAGUUAGUUUAUGUUAUAUUCUUUGUUUUUCUAA